rnacentral:rRNA from 1 species
GACGAACGCUGGCGGCAUGCCUAACACAUGCAAGUCGAACGGAGAUUAUUUCGGUAAUCUUAGUGGCGAACGGGUGAGUAACGCGUAGGCAACCUGCCCUUUAGUUGGGGACAACAUCCCGAAAGGGGUGCUAAUACCGAAUGUGAUCACAUUUCCGCACGGAAUUGUGAUGAAAGAUGGCCUCUAUUUAUAAGCUAUCGCUAAAGGAUGGGCCUGCGUCUGAUUAGCUAGUUGGUGGGGUAACGGCCCACCAAGGCGACGAUGGGUAGCCGGACUGAGAGGUUGACCGGCCACAUUGGGACUGAGAUACGGCCCAG